rnacentral:tRNA from 1 species
AAAAACUUAAGUUAACUAAACCCAGGACCUUCAAAGUCCUAAAUAAGGCCCGUCCGCCUUAGUUUUUG